UUUUUUCCUGAUUCGCGAUAUUCGCGUAUUUUAUCAAGGUAUUCAAUUCGUUUAAGACUUACAUUGUGCUUUUCCAUUAGAACUUUUCGAUUAUCUUCCAUUUUAGUAAACCGAAAUCCCAUCUCAUGAAGUAUUUUUCUCAACGUCUUUUCAGACCCAUUGUAAUUAAUAGCUUCAGAUAAUUUAGCUUUUAAUGAUUUUAUUGUUGGCAGUUCAUUCAAUCGUAAGUGAAAAUCAUACACCAUUCGAACAACAUCAUAAUCAAAAUCGUCCAUAUCCAAACGAAAUUGCUUUUUUGGUCUCCCUUUUUUUGGAGUGCUGAAAUUAAUUUCAGUAGUUAGUCAUAAAUAAAACUCAUUCAUUCCUUUGGUACGAUUUUUAUUUCCAAAAAAAAUAGGAGCGAAACAUCUCAUCCACUAAAAUAUCGUUGUACAAUGUGUUCCCUGUAAAAAUGCUCGUAAAACUGUGCAUUGAACAUCCCCGAAACUUAUAUAGCAAAUACAUUAAGCAAUAUUCGCCACAAACUGAAGUCCACUCAUUCUGAAUCAUAUCAACAUUCCAGUCCCAUCUUUUACAAUUCCGUUUUAAAAACUCUAUACUCGACGCGGCCAACCUUGAUCCCUAUGACACUGACAGCUAAUGUCACCAUAUAACAUCGUAGUCGCGUCACCAUUAAAUUGGGAUCAUAUUGGGGGCGUCUAAAAAUGCCAUUUAUAAAAUUUACGUAGCUUUAUACCAUUAGUAAUGAUAUUCCGUUGAUAUUUUCAACAAUUCUUAACAUUUACAAGAAGUUAUCGCAAUCUGAAUUUAUGUUUACGUCCUGCAAAACUUACGUCGUGUGACGUUUAUCGACUAGGGCGGCAAGUAUCGAUAAAAAAAUGUCGGUAAUGGAAACGAAUGCACAUUUUUUUUUCAUACUCACAUUUUAGUUCAUAUAUUAUGGAAUGGAACAGAAUAUUACGAUCAUACCAUUCAUACAUACACACAUGAUUAUAUUAUACCCAAGAAAAUUAAAAAAUAACAGCUAUAGGACAAAAAGAAAUUAAACAAAAUCUGUUUAACAAUUAUUUAUUUACUUACUUAUGUUACACUCUGUAUUUUAUUCUGAAUCUGAUAAUGACAUGAGUGUUUGCGUCUCAGACUCGGAAUCUGAACUGCAACUGCUGUCACCUACAUUUAUCAAUAAUGGUUAAUCUUCAAGAGUGUCGUAUCGCACAUCUCGAUCCCAAUCAUCGUAAAAGCCCCGCAAGUUAAUAUUGCGAUGGAACCUUGUCACAAUAACAGCUGCGUGACGUCAUCCGUCACACAAAAGUACAGAUAGAAAAAAGCACCAUAAAUGAUUAGUUUUGUUAUAAAAAAACAAUGAUUACACUCAUAAGUACAUAAAAAUUAUAUUGUUGAUGUGUAAAUAUGAAAAUAUUUCUUAAUU
rnacentral:misc_RNA from 1 species